GACGAACGCUGGCGGCGUGCCUAAUACAUGCAAGUAGAACGCUGAAGGAGGAGCUUGCUCUUCUGGAUGAGUUGCGAACGGGUGAGUAACGCGUAGGUAACCUGCCUGGUAGCGGGGGAUAACUAUUGGAAACGAUAGCUAAUACCGCAUAAGAGUAGAUGUUGCAUGACAUUUGCUUAAAAGGUGCAAUUGCAUCACUACCAGAUGGACCUGCGUUGUAUUAGCUAGUUGGUGGGGUAACGGCUCACCGAGGCGACGAUACAUAGCCGACCUGAGAGGGGGAUCGGCCACACUGGGACUGAGACACGGCCCAGACUCCUACGGGAGGCAGCAGUAGGGAAUCUUCGGCAAUGGACGGAAGUCUGACCGAGCAACGCCGCGUGAGUGAAGAAGGUUUUCGGAUCGUAAAGCUCUGUUGUAAGAGAAGAACGAGUGUGAGAGUGGAAAGUUCACACUGUGACGGUAUCUUACCAGAAAGGGACGGCUAACUACGUG
rnacentral:rRNA from 1 species